CCUGACAGUUGCUCUGAGAAACACUGUGUGAAACAGCAUAACCGCCCUGCAUGCUUUCCUUCCUGACCCUGAAGUUAUCUGUACGUCAACUACCUUCAUUUACAUUCACCGCCCAUACAUGGCCCAGGUGAAGAUACAAGAUCUUUUCAUUAAAAGAUGUUGAUGUUUUACAUUAAAGGCCAAUUUCCACAUCUGUAAAUUGAGCAUGAUGACACCCAUCUCACAAGGCCAUGGUGAGGGAUGAACCGGUGAUGUCAGUUUACCACAGUGCCUGGUAUAGGUAUAAAGAGACCACAUAAAGAUGAAGAAAGAUGCCAGAGGAGUCCUGGCUGCUCCAGGCCCCGGCUGUUUGACUCUUCCCAGCCCUGGCACCACCCAUGUGAAUGAGAGCCUUCAAAAGAUUCCAGCCUCCCCAGCCAAUGUCAAACGGAACAGAAAUAAGCAGCCCUAACUGAGCCUUGACCAAACUCAGAUUCACGGUUUUCUCCUGUAUAAAAUGUGUGCAAACUCAGGAGAAGGCAUCAACUUGGCAGAACAUCAUAAAUAAAACACCAGAACGACCACCGGGAGCCAGGACAAUGCCCCUAUCACACAUCUUCCCCGAGUGAAGCUCUCAUUCAUUCAUUCAACAAGGACUUGAGUACACACUACCUGCUGAGGAUGUAAUUCUGACCAAGAAAGACAGUGUUCCUGCCCCCAGGAAACUUAUGGUCUGGUGUGGGGAAAAGAAAAAUAGACAAUUACAGCCUAGUGUGGUAAGUGCUGUAACAGGGAAGUAUUCAGUGACACUGGAAUACAUCCAAGGGGUACCUUAAUAAAUAGAUGCAUAAGAGAUUCAGUUCUCCUUUUUUAAGUGAAAUACAAUCAAAUCCUUAACUUAAUAGCUCUUUACUACUAUAUUGAGAAUCACCUAUAAUUUAGAAAACUACAGAAGUUCUUUCAAAAAUGUUAUGCAAGUGUAAUACACACACAGAAAGUGCACAUAUCUUAAUUGUACAGCUUAACAAAUUUCUGCAAACUGAUACAACCACGUAACCAGCACCCAGGUCAAGAAUCAAACAGUACCAGCACCCAGAAGUCCCUCCAAUGCUCCCUCCCCUGCCUUCUAACAGCACAGAUGGAUUUUUCCUGUACUUUUCAGUGGAAUCGUGGGCCAUGCAUUCUUCUGUGUCUGGUUUUGUGUCUGGUUGUGGAUUGUUCAUCAUCAUUGCUGUUUUGUAUUCCUCGUGUGAAUCCACAUAUUUAUCUCAACACAUGUUGAUAGGCAUCUUGGCAGUUUCUAGUUUGGGGCUAUUAUCAGUAUUGUUCCUAUAACAUUCUAGAAGAUGUCUUUUGCUGAAUGUACGUGUGCAUUUCUGUUGGGUAUUCACUUAGGAGUGGAGCCACAGGAUCCUAAUACGUUCAUACGUUCAGCUUUAGAAGAUGGGCAGUGGGAGUUUUAAUAUCACAGAACAGGCAGAAUGUAAAAUUUUUACAUUUGCAUAGUACUCAUUUAACUAAUAAUCUGAUUAGUUAAUCUCUGUUGAGCACCAACUAUUGGCCAGGCUCUGUGCUACGUGUUGAUUAUGCCUUGUUAGACAACAUCCACUGGUCUUUGUCCUUAUAGCACUAAGGAAAACAUCCAUGUUCUAAGAUCAAAUAAAAAGCCAGGAUAUAAAACUGUGUGUGUAUAUAUAUUCAAAGCUAUGUUAAAAUAUCAUGAGAUACGGGAAAACAACCUUGAAGGAAAAUAAAUCAGAAGUGUAAGAAUGAUUGUCUU